GGUACUGUGGCGCAAUAGGUUAGCGCGUCCGACUGUUAAUCGGGAGGUUGUGGGUUCGAGACCCACCAGCACCG
rfam:Enterocytozoon hepatopenaei strain TH1 scaffold_00021, whole genome shotgun sequence.